GACGAACGCUGGCGGCGUGCUUAACACAUGCAAGUCGAACGAAGUGGCGAACGGGUGAGUAAUGCGUGGGUAACCUGCCCUCCUUUUUGGGAUAAGCCUUGGAAACGGGGUCUAAUACCGAAUAUAGGGGGAUGGGCUCGCGGCCUAUCAGCGUGUUGGUGGGGUGAUUGCCUACCAAGGCGGUGACGGGUAGCCGGCAUGAGAGGGUGAACGGCCACAUUGAGACGGACAUACGGCCCAGGCUGCUACGCGUGGGAGCAGUUGGGGAUAUGGGACAAUGGGCGAAAGCCUGAUGCAGCGUGUCCGCAGGGGGGAUGAAGGCUUUAAGGUUCUAAACCUCGGUCGCUAUCGAAUCGGUAGGUGGAGAAGAAGCGCCGGCUAACUACGUGCCAGCCGCCGCGGUAAUUC
rnacentral:rRNA from 1 species